ACACUCCUACGGGAGGCAGCAGUGGGGAAUAUUGGACAAUGGGCGCAAGCCUGAUCCAGCCAUGCCGCGUGAGUGAUGAAGGCCCUAGGGUUGUAAAGCUCUUUCACCGGUGAAGAUAAUGACGGUAACCGGAGAAGAAGCCCCGGCUAACUUCGUGCCAGCAGCCGCGGUAAUACGAAGGGGGCUAGCGUUGUUCGGAUUUACUGGGCGUAAAGCGCACGUAGGCGGACUAUUAAGUCAGGGGUGAAAUCCCGGGGCUCAACCCCGGAACUGCCUUUGAUACUGGUAGUCUUGAGUUCGAGAGAGGUGAGUGGAAUUCCGAGUGUAGAGGUGAAAUUCGUAGAUAUUCGGAGGAACACCAGUGGCGAAGGCGGCUCACUGGCUCGAUACUGACGCUGAGGUGCGAAAGCGUGGGAGCAAACAGGAUUAGAAACCCGAGUAGUCCCAUG
rnacentral:rRNA from 1 species